UGGGGAAUAUUGCACAAUGGGCGAAAGCCUGAUGCAGCAACGCCGCGUGAGUGAUGAAGGCCUUCGGGUUGUAAAGCUCUGUCUUUUGGGACGAUAAUGACGGUACCAAAGGAGGAAGCCACGGCUAACUACGUGCCAGCAGCCGCGGUAAUACGUAGGUGGCAAGCGUUGUCCGGAUUUACUGGGCGUAAAGGAUGCGUAGGCGGAUUUUUAAGUGAGAUGUGAAAACCCUAAGGCUUAACUUGGGGACUGCAUUUCAUACUGGAAAUCUAGAGUGCGGGAGAGGAGAAUGGAAUUCCUAGUGUAGCGGUGAAAUGCGUAGAGAUUAGGAAGAACACCAGUGGCGAAGGCGAUUCUCUGGACCGUAACUGACGCUGAGGCAUGAAAGCGUGGGUAGCAAACAGGAUUAGAUACCCUGGUAGUCCACGCCGUAAACGAUGAGUACUAGGUGUAGGAGGUAUCGACCCCUUCUGUGCCGCAGUUAACACAAUAAGUACUCCGCCUGGGAAGUACGAUCGCAAGAUUAAAAAGCUCAAAUGAAUUGACGGGGGUCAUAGCUGUUUUCCU
rnacentral:rRNA from 1 species